rnacentral:rRNA from 1 species
GCAGUCGAGCGGAUGACGGGAGCUUGCUCCUUGAUUCAGCGGCGGACGGGCCCAUUAAUGCCUAGGAAUCUGCCUGGUAGUGGGGGACAACGUUUCGAAAGGAACGCUAAUACCGCAUACGUCCUACGGGAGAAAGCAGGGGACCUUCGGGCCUUGCGCUAUCAGAUGAGCCUAGGUCGGAUUAGCUAGUUGGUGGGGUAAUGGCUCACCAAGGCGACGAUCCGUAACUGGUCUGAGAGGAUGAUCAGUCACACUGGAACUGAGACACGGUCCAGACUCCUACGGGAGGCAGCAGUGGGGAAUAUUGGACAAUGGGCGAAAGCCUGAUCCAGCCAUGCCGCGUGUGUGAAGAAGGUCUUCGGAUUGUAAAGCACUUUAAGUUGGGAGGAAGGGCAGUAAGUUAAUACCUUGCUGUUUUGACGUUACCGACAGAAUAAGCACCGGCUAACUCUGUGCCAGCAGCCGCGGUAAUACAGAGGGUGCAAGCGUUAAUCGGAAUUACUGGGCGUAAAGCGCGCGUAGGUGGUUUGUUAAGUUGGAUGUGAAAGCCCCGGGCUCAACCUGGGAACUGCAUCCAAAACUGGCAAGCUAGAGUACGGUAGAGGGUGGUGGAAUUUCCUGUGUAGCGGUGAAAUGCGUAGAUAUAGGAAGGAACACCAGUGGCGAAGGCGACCACCUGGACUGAUACUGACACUGAGGUGCGAAAGCGUGGGGAGCAAACAGGAUUAGAUACCCUGGUAGUCCACGCCGUAAACGAUGUCAACUAGCCGUUGGAAUCCUUGAGAUUUUAGUGGCGCAGCUAACGCAUU